CCUUGAUGACGACUGGCGCACGGGUGAGUAACGCGUAUCCAACCUUCCCAUAACUACGGGAUAACCCGUUGAAAGACGGCCUAAUACCGUAUGACANCGUUUGCUGACAUCAAAUAACGAUUAAAGGUUUAGCGGUUAUGGAUGGGGAUGCGUCUGAUUAGCUUGUUGGCGGGUAACGGCCCACCAAGGCUACGAUCAGUAGGGGGUUCUGAGAGGAAGGUCCCCCACAUUGGAACUGAGACACGGUCCAAACUCCUACGGGAGGCAGCAGCC
rnacentral:rRNA from 1 species